UAACACGUAAACAACCUGCCUUCAGGAUGGGGACAACAGACGGAAACGACUGCUAAUACCGAAUAAGUUCCAAGAGCCGCAUGGCCCAUGGAAGAAAAGGUGGCCUCUACCUGUAAGCUAUCGCCUGAAGAGGGGUUUGCGUCCGAUUAGCUGGUUGGUGAGGUAACGGCCCACCAAGGCGACGAUCAGUAGCCGACCUGAGAGGGUGAUCGGCCACACUGGGACUGAGACACGGCCCAGACUCCUACGGGAGGGCAGCAUG
rnacentral:rRNA from 1 species